UCGAGGUAGUUGAGGAUGAUGAGUGACUCGUUGACGGGGCGGCCGUCGUGGAGGAGCACUGGGAUCUUCUUGUGGACCGGGUUGGAGCGGAGGAGGCGGUCGCUCUUGCCGGCGAUGAGAUCCUCCUCCACGUACUCGUAGGGCAGGCCCUUCUCGGCCAGCGCGAUGCGGACGCGCUGCCCGAACGGGCUCACCCAGAAGUCCAGCAGCACCAGGCCCUUCUCGCCCGCCAUUGUUCUUGGCUGGUUUGGAUCUCGUUCGAUGUGUGCUUGUG
rnacentral:lncRNA from 1 species